AACGAACGCUGGCGGCAUGCCUAACACAUGCAAGUCGAACGAGACCUUCGGGUCUAGUGGCGCACGGGUGCGUAACGCGUGGGAACCUGCCCUUAGGUUCGGAAUAACUCCCCGAAAGGGGUGCUAAUACCGGAUAAUGUCUUCGGCCCAAAGAUUUAUCGCCUUUGGAUGGGCCCGCGUUGGAUUAGCUAGUUGGUAGGGUAAAAGCCUACCAAGGCGACGAUCCAUAGCUGGUCUGAGAGGAUGAUCAGCCACACUGGGACUGAGACACGGCCCAGACUCCUACGGGAGGCAGCAGUGGGGAAUAUUGGACAAUGGGCGAAAGCCUGAUCCAGCAAUGCCGCGUGAGUCAUGAAGGCCUUAGGGUUGUAAAGCUCUUUUACCCGGGAUGAUAAUGACAGGACCGGGAGAAGAAGCCCCGGCUAACUCCGUG
rnacentral:rRNA from 1 species